GAAAACAUAAAACUUGUAAUCAGGAAAAUGCAAUAACGGAAGAAAUGCUUACUUGAGUAACUAAUGUGAGUUAGGCAAAGAAGAUACAAAUACUUCCCAUUUCCUACUUCUAAAUUACAGUCAAAUUGUCCUAAGCAAAUCUCUCAUUGUCUCCAUGUAAAAGAUAUAGAGAAGCCGUUAGAAAAAGGUGGCUGGAACAACUUUAUACAUACAGCCUGAAUGAACUGCCUCAUCAUUUAUAUGUUUGAGGAAAGUGUCUGUUUGAUAAUUUAAAUUAAGUUUAAACUGUCAUAAACGGAGAGCUGUACAGAUUCUGUGGGAGAGGAUACUGGGGUACCAGAUACUCAUUACUAGGCUCUCCACUCUGCCUUCUUCAAUACUCUGGAUCGGUGCCCUUUAUUCAUUUUUUUCACAACUUCCUCCCCUUUGCUCACAUUCUUUACAAGCUUCCAGGAUUUUUAAAUUUUAUUUUAUUUCUUUCCACAAUGACUCUCAUGGCUGUUGCUAUAGUUGCUAUAAAAGGCAAGGUGGGGAACAGACAGGUGAAUGAGCACAGAGGUCAUUUGUAAACCGUUUGUGGUUAGUGCUCCUCUGUUUACUGUCUGUCUGUCUCUCUCAGUGUCUCUGGGUAUGUGUCUGUUUACAACAUAAAAUAUAUGCACACAAAUCUCCAAUUUUUCUAGAGUAACUAUUAACACAGUUAAAAUCUGGAAGAACUCUAUCUUUUAAAGGAAAUACCAAUUAGCAAAUAAAAGAGUUGAUUCCCCCCAACUCUCAUUCCCCAGAGCUUGCUUAAGUGUAUGGUUUGCACACAUUCCAUAAAUAAAAACAUUGCUGGCUCAUAACUAUGCUUCAUUUUCAUAAGCCUUCCAAAUGUUAGUAACUUAGCCUUCUCCUUUUGAAGGGUUAGUCUGUAAGUGAUACUGGAAGCCAUGUGGUAAGAAAGAGGACAGAAGUAUAAAAUCAGACUCAGAAAGUAAAAUCUGGCAUAUUUGGCAUAGAUCCAUUCAGCUUCGUAUACUUUGUUAGGACCCGAGGGCAUGCCUGAUUUUCAUAAAAUCGAUGCACUGUUAUUAAAACAAACAGGUGAAAAUCACUUUUGUUAAACUACUUGACAAGGCAUCUGACUACCUUAAGUGUGUUAUAAAUUUUGCAAGUGGUUAAAAUUUUAUGCUUAUGAAUUCAAAAGAUAGACUUUAGUUAAAUUAAAAACUAAUUUAUGUAGAUAUUUUCCCUAAUAAUAUAGCACAAAUGGGUUUUAUUUCCAACUGAAAAGAGUAUUUAUUACCAUGGAUAUAACUAGAAGAAUCAUACAAAUAUAUGUAAUUCCAUUAGAAAAUAUUUUUCUUAAAAUUUGAAAUGACAAGAACUUAAUGAAUCUUAAAUAUCUCUUGUUUUAUUUUGAAAAAUUGUUUUCAUAAGAUACAAUUGAGCAAUUGAGAUUUGUUCUCCCAGUAUCUGAAGAUUUUUUUGGUCUUGUUUUGUUUUUUGGGUUUUUGGCCCUAAAAUUAGGUGAAUUCAGCUUUGGGUCUAUUUCAUCCAUUCUGGAAGGUUCCUUGGGUCACUGAUCUGAGGCAUUCUUGAUGUGGUUAGGACUUCCCAGCAUUAUUUUUUUUAGAUCCUGUUUAUUUAAAAUGAAAAGGAUUAGCAUGAGGGAUGGUAACAUUCCUUUUUGAUAUCUGUAGCAGCAAGUUUUCUUAUGAUUCAUUAUUCUUCUUCUUACAGCUUUAAAUCAUCUAGGAACUUCAUAUAAAAUUUAAUUCCAGUUUCAACUAGUUGUGGAGCAUUUGAUCCAAAAUAAAAUGAAAGUCCUCUCUGAAGCUGUAGAGGAGACUCAAGAAUCAGAACAACCUGAAGUUCUUUAAGCUGUCAGUUGAAGGACUAGCUAAACAAGCACUGGCCUUGAGAUAAGCAAUGCUGAAGCACUUGCAGCUCACCUAUUACCAUAAACUGACUGAGCCCUCCCUACACAAGCCGUAACUACUGCUUUGAUUGGACAAGAGACUGAUUUCAGUAGUUUUCUCUUGAUAAGAGACCACUGGCCGUGGGCGGGUUCUGGACAGUUUACAGAAGCUAUGCACUUGAUUGCCUUUGUGUCCCUGCUUCACCUUUUGAAGCAUAGGGCCUAAUUAUAAUGUAUUUAAAUGUUGUCUCCACCCCAAAGUGAACAUGGGUUGCAUGUAACAGGCAUGUUUACUCAGCAUGCAUGCAGCAGGAUCCCUUCACAAAUAUUCAGAGCUCCCCCUAUUCCCUGUUGAAUAUGUAUAUGUGGCCAGCCAGAUCAACGUAAAUCACUAUUCGCCCUCCCCUCCCUGGAAACCUACUUUUCGGGUUUCAGCAGGAAGCUAUGCCUCCCAGUCUGUCAGAAUGGCCACUUGCAGGCUGUAACCCUUUAUAAAAAAAUAAAAUCUCCUUUCUAAAUUUA
rnacentral:lncRNA from 1 species